rnacentral:rRNA from 1 species
GGAUUAGAUACCCUGGUAGUCCACGCCGUAAACGAUGAGAACUAGGUGUUAGGCACUUUAAGUGUCUAGUGCUACAGCUAACGCAUUAAGUUCUCCGCCUGGGGAGUACGGCCGCAAGGCUAAAACUCAAAGGAAUUGACGGGGGCCCGCACAAGCGGUGGAGCAUGGGGUUUAAUUCGAUGAUACGCGAAAAACCUUACCUAUCCUUGACAUACUCGGAAUUUUCUAGCAAUAGAUUAGUGCCUUCGGGAGCCGAGAUACAGGUGCUGCAUGGCUGUCGUCAGCUCGUGCCG